rnacentral:rRNA from 1 species
UACGGAGGGGACUAGCGUUGUUCGGAAUUACUGGGCGUAAAGCGCACGUAGGCGGAUUGGAAGUCAGAGGUGAAUACCUCAGGGCUCAACCUUGGAACUGCCUUUGAAACUCCCAGUCUUGAGUUCGAGAGAGGCGAGUGGAAUUCCUGGUGUAGCGGUGGAAUGCGCAGAUAUCAGGAGGAACACCGAUGGCGAAGGCAGCUCGCUGGGACGGUACUGACGCUGAGGCGCGAAAGCGUGGGGAGCAAACAGG